CACGUAGGGCGCAAGCGUUGUCCGGAAUUAUUGGGCGUAAAGAGCUCGUAGGCGGUCUGUUACGUCUGCUGUGAAAACCCAGGGCUUAACCCUGGGCUUGCAGUGGAUACGGGCAGACUAGAGGCAGGUAGGGGAGAAUGGAAUUCCCGGUGUAGCGGUGAAAUGCGCAGAUAUCGGGAGGAACACCGGUGGCGAAGGCGGCGAUCUGGGUAGAUACUGACGCUGAGGUGCGAAAGCGUGGGGAGCAAACAGG
rnacentral:rRNA from 1 species